rnacentral:rRNA from 1 species
GGGCCCGCACAAGCGGUGGAGCAUGUGGUUCAAUUCGAAGCAACGCGCAGAACCUUACCAGCCCUUGACAUCCCGGUCGCGGGAACGAGAGAUCGAUCCCUUCAGUUCGGCUGGACCGGAGACAGGUGCUGCAUGGCUGUCGUCAGCUCGUGUCGUGAGAUGUUGGGUUAAGUCCCGCAACGAGCGCAACCCUCGCCCUUAGUUGCCAUCAUUUAGUUGGGCACUCUAAGGGGACUGCCGGUGAUAAGCCGCGAGGAAGGUGGGGAUGACGUCAAGUCCUCAUGGCCCUUACGGGCUGGGCUACACACGUGCUACAAUGGCGGUGACAAUGGGAUGCAAUGGAGCGAUCCUGCGCAAAUCUCAAAAAGCCGUCUCAGUUCGGAUUGUGCUCUGCAACUCGAGCACAUGAAGUUGGAAUCGCUAGUAAUCGCAGAUCAGCACGCUGCGGUGAAUACGUUCCCGGGCCUU